UACGUAGGGUGCAAGCGUUGUCCGGAAUUAUUGGGCGUAAAGAGCUCGUAGGCGGUCUGUCGCGUCUGCUGUGAAAACUCAGGGCUUAACCCUGAGCUUGCAGUGGGUACGGGCAGACUAGAGUGCGGUAGGGGAGACUGGAAUUCCUGGUGUAGCGGUGAAAUGCGCAGAUAUCAGGAGGAACACCGGUGGCGGAGGCGGGUCUCUGGGCCGUAACUGACGCUGAGGAGCGAAAGCAUGGGGAGCGAACAGG
rnacentral:rRNA from 1 species